GUCUAUGGCCAUACCUCCCUGAAUGCACCUGCUUUUGUCUGAUCUUGGAAGCAAAGCACGGUCAGGCCUGGUUAGUACAUGGAUGGGAGACCACCUGGGAAUACCGGGUGCUGUAGGCU
rnacentral:rRNA from 1 species